rnacentral:lncRNA from 1 species
UACACUUAUUCCUCGCUGCCGCUUGUAAUAAUCCCUCCGAAGCUGAGGAUGAAAUUGGUUUCUCCGUGAUCUCUCUUUCCACCCUGGGUGAUCCCCAUAGGAUUCUUCACAAGGACGCAAAUCUUUGUCGGGGUUCAUUGGUGGCUGUGGUUUUCCUGCCCAGCCCACUACCACUGGGCCGUAGAUGAGAUGGAUAUCUUGUCCAGCCCGCUGCCACUGGACCAUUUCUGCAGGUAAGGGGGUCAAACCCACAGCCACUGGACCCUCUUCUCUGUAGGGCCCAUCUAUCACCCCAUCUUGCAGUGUGGAGCCUCGAGUUCUCCAAAUGUCCAGAUCGCAGCUGUCACUGAGCAGUUGCAUCUGUUACACAGUAAAGGAGUCCUAGAGAAGUGCUGCCAAGGGGAACUCAUAAAAAAGCCGCUGCUGGAGACUCAGAUGUGCCCUGCUGAGCGAGGCAGUCUCCUCCUACUUACCGUGCUGCAGUGAGCCGCAGUCACCCGCGGGGGAGUUGAAGAAUAAGUUGAAUAUGGUUGAACACGGUGGCAUCAUACUGCUCAGCCAUCUCUGGGGUUAACUGCAGAUGAGAUAAUUCCUGUAUAACUCCUGGAUCCUCUAGGGCAUUCUGCCACUGUAUCCACACUUCAUGGUACAAGGGCGAAUGGACAGAUCUCCAGCUUCCAAGUGAAACGUGAAGGCGACUCGACAAGGAUUUCUGUUAGGACAAUAGUUUUGCUUCAUGAAGACCAGGAAGGCUUGAACUCAGGACAAUGGGUAUCUUGAAUUUACUCAGUUCCCAUCUCUUAAGUUAUUAAACAUUAUUUCCCACCUGUCUUGUGUAUUUUUGCUUGAUCCCUAUAAUAUGGGGGCAGGCAUAAUUUUGUAUAACCCCUGUAAGACGUGUGCCAGGUACAAUUGGCCCUAUUUCCUAUGUGGGGAAACUGAGACUCAGAGCAGAGAAGCGACUCUCCUAAGUCACACGUUGUAUUGCUGGCAGAGUCUCGGGCAGGAGUCGUGCCUCCUGAUUUCCAGGUACAUGCUGCUUUUGCUAGAACCAAUCUAUUAAAGAACCAAGACUCUUUUAUUUGGAAUUAAUGAGGGAUUCCAAAAAUAGUGUUAGCAGUGCUUAACAAAUUUGAAAGAGCAAAGGAACUGAAGCCAGAGAAGACUGAGAUAGGGGAGCUGUUUCAUUGUAUCAAUUUCUAUUCACUUUGUUAAUAAUUGAUGCCACAUUUACUCAUUGUUAUAUAUUAAAAAUACUUGAUUUGCUACAAGGUAAAAAUGACCCAUUGACUUUGUCUCUCAACCUACGCUAACCCUAAAUGAGAAUCUCAUUGUGACCACGAUUUUGCAAAAUUGAUUAAAUGGAAAUAAAUGCAUUCAAGUGUCAAAGGCUGCAUUGGGAAUGGUUGCUAAUGAGCUUGACCUUUCAGAGCUUCCUGGCUGGGUGCACAGUAGGUGUUCAAUGAGUACUGAUGGAUGUCUUGACUGACUGAGAUUUCGGUUAGCCUUCCAUCCCCGGGAGCAUGGUGCCUCUAAUGUGUUAGAUGGCAUCAUGUUCCAAAAAUGAAUCGAUCUAUAAAUUUGAAGACUAAUUUGGAAACAUUUUAACCUUACUAAACAGAAUAGUAUGAUAAAACCUAGGUACCCUACGCCAGCUUCAAAUCAAUAUUCUGCUGUUUUUGUUUACUUCCCUUAACACACAUCACUGCCUCCCCACCCCCAACACACACACACUUUUUUGUUUUUGAGACAGAGUCUCGCUCUGUCACCGAGGCUGGGGUGUAGUGGCGCCAUCUCGGCUCACUGCAAGCUCCGCCUCCUGGGUUCAUGCCAUUCUCCUGUCUCGGCCUCCCAGUCUCCAGAGUAGCUGGGACUUCAGGUGUCCACUUUUUUUUUUUUUUUUUGGCUGAAGUACCAUAAAGGAAAUUUCAAACAUUGUGUCAUUCACCUGUGAAUAAAUCUGUAUGUACCUCCAAUAGAUAGACUAAAAAAACCACAACCUUAUCACCACAACACAAUUAGCCAUUGUUUCUUAAUAUCAUAGGAGGCCUCUUCCAUGCUGAAUGCUCCAU